AUUGAACGCUGGCGGCAGGCCUAACACAUGCAAGUCGAACGAGUGGCGGACGGGUGAGCAAGGUCUGAUCACGUGCUUGAUGGACGGGGCUAACUACUAGAAAAGGUAGCAAAUACUGCAUACCAUCGUCUGGGGCCAGAUGGGAUUAGCUAGUAGGUGGGGUAUAGGCUCACCUAGGCGACGAACCCUAGCUGGUCUGAGAGGAUGACCGGCCACACUGGAACUGAGACACGGUCCAGACUCCUACGGGAGGCAGCAGUGGGGAAUAUUGUGCAAUGGGCGCAAGCCUGAUGAAGCAAUGCCGCGUGAAUGAAGAAGGCCUUCGGGUUGUAAAUUACUUUCUGCGGGGAGGCGUUACCCGAAGACGAAGCUACGGCUAACUACGUGCCAGCAGCCGCGGUAAUUC
rnacentral:rRNA from 1 species